GACGAACGCUGGCGGCGUGCUUAACACAUGCAAGUCGAACGGAAAGGCCCUGCUUUUGUGGGGUGCUCGAGUGGCGAACGGGUGAGUAACACGUGAGUAACCUGCCCUUGACUUUGGGAUAACUUCAGGAAACUGGGGCUAAUACCGGAUAGGAGAUCCUGCUGCAUGGUGGGGGUUGGAAAGUUCCGGCGGUUGGGGAUGGAUUCGCGGCUUAUCAGCUUGUUGGUGGGGUAGUGGCUUACCAAGGCUUUGACGGGUAGGCGGCCUGAGAGGGUGACCGGCCACAUUGGGCCUGAGAGACGGCCCAGUCUCCUACGGGAGGCAGCAGUGGGAAAUAUUGCACAAUGGGCGGAAGCCUGAUGCAGCAACGCCCCGUGCGGGAUGACGGCCUUCGGGUUGUAAACCGCUUUCGCCUGUGACGAAGCGUGAGUGACGGUAAUGGGUAAAGAAGCACCGGCUAACUACGUG
rnacentral:rRNA from 1 species